rnacentral:lncRNA from 1 species
GAACAGCUGGGUUUUGAUUAGAUAAAGUUUAGCCUUCGCUACUUGCUUGUAAGCGCGCGUGCUGAUCCAGCCGCCCGUCUUCUUGUUUUCGAAACCCCACUUCAUUAGAGAUUGAGUUUGAAACCUUCAUUUACAUCUAGUAUUUUAGUACUUGUCCUACUUGUUCUUGCUGGUUCUUCGAUUGCUUGCAGGACGAGUGCCCUAGUGGCCGGGUGUUGCGCUCCACAAGAUCGUGACAGCCAUUGGAGGCGGUGUAUCGGUUGCUAAGGCGCGGCCU